UACGUAGGGGGCAAGCGUUGUCCGGAUUUACUGGGCGUAAAGAGCGUGUAGGCGGCCAAGCAGGUCCGUUGUGAAAACUGGAGGCUUAACCUCCAGACGUCGACGGAAACCGCGUGGCUAGAGUCCGGUAGAGGAGAGUGGAAUUCCUGGUGUAGCGGUGAAAUGCGCAGAUAUCAGGAAGAACACCAAUGGCGAAGGCAGCUCUCUGGGACGGUACUGACGCUGAGACGCGAAAGCGUGGGGAGCGAACAGG
rnacentral:rRNA from 1 species